rnacentral:misc_RNA from 1 species
GAUGAAGAACGUAGCGAAAUGCGAUAAGUAAUGUGAAUUGCAGAAUUCAGUGAACCAUCGAAUCUUUGAACGCACAUUGCGCCCGGCAGUAAUCUGCCGGGCAUGCCUGUCCGAGCGUCAUUUCUCCCCUCGAGCGCAGCUUUCCCCCCCGGGGGAGGGCCGCGCCCGGUGUUGGGGCGCUACGGAGGAGCCCAGCGCUCCCCCGUAGGCCCCGAAAUGUAGUGGCGGUCCCGCCGCGGCGCCCCCUGCGUAGUAGUUUUACAACUCGCAUCGGGUCCCGGCGGAGGCCAGCCGUCAAACCCCCCAACUUCAAUAGUUUGACCUCGGAUCAGGUAGGGAUACCCGCUGAACUUAAGCAUAUCAAUAAGCGGAGGA